AAAUGAGUUAUUUAUACUAUCUUAGAAUUUGCUGCUUUAGAGGCACGGCAUUUAGUGUCACAUUAAUUUACUGUUUUAGACACGUGGCAUGUGGUAUCCCACUACACUUGGUAUAAGCUGUCAUACUGUAAGUUUAAAUUGGUUGUAAAAUUUAUAUUGUAACUUGCAUUUCUAUUGGCGUGCAUAUUUAUUUAGUUGAGUUUCAACUAUUAAUAAUA